GUCGGAUAAUGGUUUAACCAAUUCUGCUGGCUGGAAGACAAUGGAGGGACGCGCAAGUGAGGAUAAUCCCCACUAAUUGGACAUCGGGAUCAUCAAGUCUACAAGGUGCCUGAAACCCAAAUUCCCACACCUACUUGUCACAAAACAAAACCGUAUUUAACAAUGAUCUGGUACAAGUGGACCUCACCUAAACGGGACCGUCGUGCCAUAAACGGUCUCUAGCAGACAUCUCAGAAUGGUUUUAUGGAACUAAGGGGAAUGGCACGUCGCUUACUUUCACGCUUUAAUUCACGUGACUAACAAGAACGAAUAAUCACAAAGAAAACAUUGAAAUGGCUAGAUUAUCACCACAGCGUUUUUUUUUUAAAGUCCAGAAAUCAAUCACAGCGUUUACUCCCCACAUCAGCCUGAUAUCAGGGAACAUGGCUCACCUUGCUGCACAGAUGAUCCAUUUUGAGGAGUCACUCACGGAAGCUCAGGUUUCAACCACAUACCGCUGCGAGGCUGUGUCCACUAAGAGAAUUAUGAUGUGCUGACCUGACAGCAGUCAAGGUUACGAUGGAAAUAGAAAAAGGCCAGUGGUAUUUACUCAUGAGGUUUAGAAACAAUAAAAGCCUGGCAGCAUUUAAGAGAUUAUAGACAACCCCACACACAUCAGUGGACAGUCCUCUCCCAUGCUCUCGUCUCUCUUUCCCUCGAUUUUCUGCUCUUUGACGCUGGGUUCACAUGACAUACCACCGCUGGGAUCGCUGGAGCGAAGCUUUGGAACAGAGCAAUGUUUCCCACAUCAGUGAGUGCAGCCUGCGACCACACACACGCAUACCCCAAGCUUUCAUUGUUUUGUUGUCAGUUUACUUGAUAUAUCUCUUGUAAAGUCAUUAUUUUGAAUAAUGACACAAUGAUAUGCACAUAAACUACAAGAGCACUCAACAAAAGUAAAUAAUAAAUAAAAGGUCCUGAAGUCUCUGAA